GCGGUAUACGUAGGGNGCAAGCGUUGUCNGGAAUUAUUGGGCGUAAAGAGCUCGUAGGCGGUUUGUCGCGUNUGCUGUGAAANCCCGAGGCUCANCCUCGGGCUUGCAGUGGGUACGGGCAGACUAGAGUGCGGUAGGGGAGAUUGGAAUUCCUNGUGUAGCGGUGGAAUGCGCAGAUAUCAGGAGGAACACCGAUGGCGAAGGCAGAUCUCUGGGCCGUAACUGACGCUGAGGAGCGAAAGCAUGGGGAGCGAACAGGAUUAGAUACCCUGGUAGUCCAUGCCGUAAACGUUGGGCGCUAGAUGUAGGGACCUUUCCACGGUUUCUGUGUCGUAGCUAACGCAUUAAGCGCCCCGCCUGGGGAGUACGGCCGCAAGGCUAAAACUCAAAGGAAUUGACGGGGGCCCGCACAAGCGGCGGAGCAUGCGGAUUAAUUCGAUGCAACGCGAAGAACCUUACCAAGGCUUGACAUACACCGGAAACGGCCAGAGAUGGUCGCCCCCUUGUGGUCGGUGUACAGGUGGUGCAUGGUUGUCGUCAGCUCGUGUCGUGAGAUGUUGGGUUAAGUCCCGCAACGAGCGCAACCCUCGUUUUAUGUUGCCAGCGGGUUAUGCCGGGGACUCAUAGGAGACUGCCGGGGUCAACUCGGAGGAAGGUGGGGAUGACGUCAAAUCAUCAUGCCCCUUAUGUCUUGGGCUUCACGCAUGCUACAAUGGCCGGUACAAAGGGCUGCGAUACCGUAAGGUGGAGCGAAUCCCAAAAAGCCGGUCUCAGUUCGGAUUGAGGUCUGCAACUCGACCUCAUGAAGUCGGAGUCGCUAGUAAUCGCAGAUCAGCAACGCUGCGGUGAAUACGUUCCCGGNCCUUGUACACACCGCCCGUCAAGUCAUGAAAGUCGGUAACACCCGAAGCCGGUGGCCUAACCCUUGUGGAAGG
rnacentral:rRNA from 1 species